GACGAACCGUGCAAACGUUGUUCGGAAUCACUGGGCUUAAAGGGCGCGUAGGCGGCUCGCCAAGUCGGGGGUGAAAUCUUUCGGCUCAACCGGAAAAGUGCCUUCGAUACUGGCGGGCUGGAGGGAGGUAGGGGCAUGUGGAACUUCCGGUGGAGCGGUGAAAUGCGUUGAUAUCGGAAGGAACGCCGGUGGCGAAAGCGGCUACCUGGCCCAAUACUGACACUCAGGUGCGACAGCGUGGGGAGCAAACAGG
rnacentral:rRNA from 1 species